GCGGCGUAGGCAAUAGCAGCGUUUUUAGCGGCGUUUGGAAAAACGCUACAAAUAGUUUUAGUAGCACUUGAAAGCGCCGCUAAAGGCCUAAAAAAAUGCUGCUAAAAGUCAGUUUUGCUGUAGUGGUUGAAGGUGGAGUUGUGCGCAUGGGAAAUGAUUCAUCUAGUAAAGUAAUUACUAUUGGUAUUGUUAAAAUUAGGAUGCAUGAUGGGACGAUUAGGACACUCUUAGAUGCCAAGUAUGUACCUGAUUUACGAAGUAAUCUCAUCUCCUUGAGUAUUUUAAACUCGAAAGGAUACAGAAUCAACAUUGAGUCAAGUGGCAUUAAGGUAUCUUGUGGAGCUCUCGUUUUGUUAAAUGGUAAAAAGACCGGCAACUUUAUAUUCUGGAAAGUUCUAUAGUGACUAGUGAAAUCAAACGUCCCUCGUCCGUUACGGAGUUCAACUCAUUUGGAGCGGAGACAACUUAGUCAUAGGAGGGAAAAAGUGUACAAGUUGAAGCUAGAAGUCUUCCAGUUUCUAAGCACAAAUUCGACUCAGUUAAUUCCCUACAUAGUUCAAGAUAGGCUCGUGGCAAGCUUUGGCAAAGGUGGCAUUAUGGAAAUACGAGUCAACUUGGAGAUUUGUAGAGUAUGAUUCCUAUUUCAAUCAAAUUUGAGAAAUAAUCUUCUAGUUAAACUCUGUUUAUUUGUUUCAAUCAAACUCUGAUUAGUCUAGAUUAUUUUAUUA